rnacentral:lncRNA from 1 species
UUUUUUUCUUUUUUUCUUUUUUUUUCUUUUUUUUUUUCUUUUUUUUUCUUUUUUUUUUCUUUUUUUUUCGAAACGCGUGGGCUUCGCCUAGCGAACAUGACAGUUCAUGAACAAACUUUUGCUCCUUCAAGAUUAACGUUUUGACUGAUGAAUAGACCCCAUUUGAACAUGUUGGAAGUAUCUCAAGUCAUUCCCUUGUGUUGAAU